rnacentral:rRNA from 1 species
GACGAACCGUGCGAACGUUGUUCGGAAUCACUGGGCUUAAAGGGCGCGUAGGCGGGCGAUCAAGUCAGGGGUGAAAUCCUCCGGCUCAACCGGAGAACUGCCUUUGAUACUGGUCAUCUCGAGUGAGGUAGGGGCAUGCGGAACUGAUGGUGGAGCGGUGAAAUGUGUUGAUAUCAUCAGGAACUCCGGUGGCGAAAGCGGCGUGCUGGACCUCUACUGACGCUGAUGCGCGAAAGCCAGGGGAGCGAACGGG